UCCAUAUGUCCGUGUACCUAUUCAAGGAGUUGGGUGUGGUCAUAAUGAGUUCCUCUAUGGCUCUGAGUUCCUCCAUUUGGGAGAACCAGGAUGUCAACGGGGGUGUCGUUUGUUGCUUCCAGAAUUGAGGGAUCACCUGUUUGGCAACGUUUAGGAUUCUAAUGGUUAGUGAGUGCUUGUAUCUCGUUCUAGGUGACUUUGUAUGGUGAAGGAGCAUGUGUUCUGGGAGGAAGGGGGGUGGCGUGUCUGAGAAGGUUUUGAGAAAGCCAUGUAUACCCCACCAGAAGGGCUUUAUGGCUUCGCA